rnacentral:rRNA from 1 species
GACGAACGCUGGCGGCGUGCCUAACACAUGCAAGUCGUACGGUAAGGUCCUUUCGGGGGUACACGAGUGGCGUACGGGUGAGUAACACGUGAGUAUCCUGCCCAUAACUUUGGGACAACGCUAGGAAACUGGUGCCAAUACUGGAUACGUGCUCUUGCUGCAUGGUGGGGGUUCGAAAGUUCCGGCGGCUGUGGAUGGACUGGAGGCCUAUCCGCUUGUACGUGGGGUAGUGGCCUACCAAGGCGGCGACGCGAAGCCGGACUGAGUGGGUGACCAGCCACAUUGAGACUGAGAUAAGGCCCAGACUCCGACGAGAGGGAGAAGUGGGAAAGAUUGCACAAGGGACGCAGGCCUGAUGCAGAAGCGCCGCGUGCGGGAGAACGACCUUCGGAUUGUAGACCGAAUGCAGCAGGAACGAGGCUUUUUGUGACGGUACCUGCAGAAGAAGCACCGGCUAACUACGUG